GGCUUGCUGGUGUCUGCCCAUCACCGAUCGGCAGAUUGGUAUCUGCCCGACUCUGCCAUUCAAAUACGGGUGAAAUGUAUAAUUGGUUGCCUAUCGGCUAAUAUUCCACAGCGCUUCUUACAAGUAAAUCGUCAAUCUAGGGACGGUUUGCCGUCCCUGUCGAAGCGGAUCUUACAAAAAAGAAUUCACGCAAUCGGAUGCAUGGCUGGGAUCAUGAUACUAUAUGUUGGGACACUAGAAUCUAGUAUAUACACUACAUAUAAUCCGUUGUUGUGGGUAACCAUAUAUCUAGUCAGUAAGCUCACUCCCCGAAAAAUGCAUUGUUUUCAAUGUUCCAAUUUGGCGAAACUGCGCAAAGUCGUCCAAAAUUCGUUUCACCGUGCGCAUCCGAUGAGAGCGGAUACGUUUGCCGAUUGGUCGUGACCGCCAUCUGAUUUUCAUGAAUUUUGUGAGGUUGUGUUUGGGAAUUGUUUGUUGUUUUGGUUAAUUUACCAAUUUAUUUUCAUACAUUUUUCAUAUUAAUAAUAAGUAGUUAUGUAUAUUAUGUACUGUGAAUGUGAUAUUAUUUUCUUAAAUCAAUCAAAUGGAAAUGAAGCAAGCAGAAAACAAUUUUUACAAGGAACAAUGUAAAAUUAAAAUCGAAAGUUCUGGACAACCUGUGUGAUGCUGUAAUAAUUAUGUUCCUAUUCUGUUAAAACUGAGAUAGAGAGUCUUUAAAACUGAUAAAAAUAGUUAUUUCUAUGAUGGAAAUUCUUUGGACCAAAUAAAUAGAGAAGUUAUUAUUGAAGACAUCAAAUAAAAGGAGGAAAAUUUAUGUGAAAAAUGAUUUUCAUAAUAAAAGAAGAACUGACGUUAUUAUGAAACCAGUGUAUGGACGGUGUGUUUUACUGACUUAAAGCAAGAGUACCUUUUAUACUUGAAUUUGUCACAUUUUUUACUUUCAUAAUUUUAUUUAUGUAAGUUGUGAUUCUAAAAAUAUUGUUAAGUUGUAUUCAUAGUUCUCUACUUGUUCUUUUGAAGUACUGUUUUUAUUAUAAUUGGUAUUGUAAAGUUGAAAUCCUCAAAUCAAAAUAUAAUUUAUAAUUCGAA
rnacentral:lncRNA from 1 species